CUUGCUCUACCGUCUUUGUGAGUAGCGAACGGGUGAGUAACGCGUGGGUAACCUGCCUUAUAGCGGGGAUAACUAUUGGAAACGAUAGCUAAUACCGCAUAACAAUAGAGAUUGCAUAAUCUUUAUUUGAAAGUGCCAACUGGUACACUAUGAGAUGGACCGCGUUGUAUUAGCUAGUUGGUAGUGUAAUGGACUACCAAGGCGAUGAUACAUAGCCGACCUGAGAGGGUGAUCGGCCACAUUGGGACUGAGACACGGCCCAAACUCCUACGGGAGGCAGCAGUAGGGAAUCUUCGGCAAUGGACGAAAGUCUGACCGAGCAACGCCGCGUGAGUGAAGAAGGUUUUCGGAUCGUAAAACUCUGUUGUUAGAGAAGAAUGUUGAUUAGAGUGGAAAAUUAAUCAAGUGACGGUAUCUAACCAGAGAGGGACGGCUAACUACGUG
rnacentral:rRNA from 1 species